GCCUCCCUGAGGUCCCCAUGCCCUUUUCCCUUGGUCACCCCUGCCACAGUGGCCUAACAGUACCACUGACCACACAAGAGGGCAAGCAGAAAGCCUGCCUAAUCCUGGAAGAGAGAGCGCAUGAGAACAUGGCUGGUCCACACUACCUGUGUGUAAUCUGGCAGUAAUGCUACAUUCCCAUCUGAAAGGAAUGUUUUCACUGACAUACACUACGAGGUACUCCUGCCAUAUCACUGGGAUGUCCAAAGAGUGUUAAUUUUCCUGCUUAUUAAAGCACAGGGAGGGAAGCUUCAAAGCACAGAGCCUGGCUGGCUUUCUAAAUGCUUCACUGAACUAGACAGGACUUCUCAGGUGCUUGACACCCAUCUACUGCCAAUCACAAGCCACAUCUCACUCAAAAUCCUGGGAAGCACAACCUUUUAUUCUGAAAAUAAAAUGAUUCAGCAUAACAAGGAGUUGCAUCUUCUCCUAAGCUCAUAAACCAAUCCUGAUGACUGCACAUCACCCUUAAAGAAUUCCUACCUUCAAGGCCUGUUUUCAGCUGGCAUCCCAAGCAUUCUCUCCUCCAUGGUGCAAAGCCAAAAUUAUGGGAAACAAUUGCAAAACCAUGGCAGUGUUACUGUUUUUUCAACAGGAUUUUCAUUGAACCCUAAUCAACUGCUACAAGUAGCUUCAGUUGUACAUGUGGCUGGAUCAUGUGUUGGAGUUGGAUGAGUUUUGCUGACUUCAAAAAACCUAAAUUUGCUCUCAGCUAUUUCUCCACCAUUUUUGCCCAGCUCUGGACUGCGACUCUGCUUUUGCUGGGAAGAAAACGAAAGAAAACAAUGGUUUACUCUUAUCAUGAGUUCUGUCCCUUCCCAUGGGCAGACAGGGCUUAGAAAGCUACGCUCGCAGAUCAGAUUUUUCAAGGUAUUAGGGCCUUGCGUUUCUUCACAGUGCAAGUUGGAGCCACCUGGACCCACUUUUUGGGAGCGACCCGAGAUCUAGACUGGAGUCACACCAGGUCAGCACUGCAGGAUUCACAAGGUACCUUAUGGACCUUGCAGCCUGCCAUUAGACAGUCACUGGACCCCAUUUCUAUUCCUGUUUCAAGGCUGUUUACGUGGAAGUGUGGCUGUCUGUCUAGUUGUACUGGGGGACUAGCAUGGCUUGAGAUGGUGUUUGGUAAUGGAUGGGCAAGUGUACAUGCAUGCAUGCUUUCCAAGUCAGGCAUUACUCAAAGUUUAAAAAUGCUUGAUGUACAGAAAGCACUACCAGCUAGACUCGGCAUCAUCUCUAACGAAGCCGCACACAGAGCAAAAAGAAAUCCCUGGAAUGUUCAACAAUAUUCAAGAAAACUCUCUUGUUUUUCUGAGUUAGGGCAGAUAAAGCAUACAAUUCA